UACGUAGGUGGCAAGCGUUGUCCGGAUUUACUGGGCGUAAAGCGUGCGCAGGCGGUUUCUUAAGUCAGAUGUGAAAGCCCCGGGCUUAACCUGGGAACUGCGUUUGAAACUGGGAGACUUGAGUGUGGCAGAGGGGGGUGGAAUUCCACGUGUAGCAGUGAAAUGCGUAGAUAUGUGGAGGAACACCGAUGGCGAAGGCAGCCCCCUGGGUUAACACUGACGCUCAUGCACGAAAGCGUGGGGAGCAAACAGG
rnacentral:rRNA from 1 species